rnacentral:lncRNA from 1 species
AGAAACGCCAUGUUUCCAAUAGGCGGUGCAGACAAAGACGCAGUCCAUACAAAAAAGCCCAGCGAUUCGAAAAUACACAUUAUUACAUACAUUUUCAGCCACCAAUAUCAGGGUCUUUCCACAGGGGGGAGCUUAAGUCACCAAAACUCUAAUGGAUUAUCCUGGCCUGCUCUUAUGUGUGAUUUGCAGCACGUGUGAUAUCUGCAUGACUUUGACUAUGAAUAUGACCAGCACAGCAUGUGAACUCAGCAAGCAAUCAGUCCAUGCAUCUGAUAGUGCUAAUAUGAAACUGAUGGAUACAGAUCCCUGUGCUGAGGAACAGAGUGCCCCAACCUGAUCUAAAAGGCAAGGAUCUAUUUUUAUCUUUAAAAAAAAAACCCAACAAAAUAAUGAUGUGAUUUCAAACAGGUGAUGUCUGCACGUGAUUUUAAUUUAUGAAAGCUGGCUGAGGCUUUGAGGACCAAAAGAGGGGCAGAGGAUCUCAAAUUGGUUAGAAAUGCAUGAGUAGAUUAUUGCAAUGCUUAAAAGGAAAGUGUUUGCAGAAGAAAUGGUAAGAUAUAACACUAGAAUUACUUAUCAGUCAGUAUGUCUUUUAAGUGUUGUAAGGAAG